UCUCCAUUAUAUCCUUGCAUUCUUGCUUUAAGCAAUUAAUCUCAAACUAAAGUCUCUCUCCUCAUUCAUCAAGCUUUUGAUAUAUAUUUUUCAUAAGUAAUUAGUUAAGCCUAAAUUCUUUAAAACCCAAUUCACCCCCCCUCUUGGGUUGCAUAGCUGGGCAACAUCUAGAGGUCUUCCAUCAUUGUAGAGAUGCGGGUGCCUUCCUAGCAUUGAUCAUUCUCGAUUGAUAAUAGUAGUUUGGUUACAUCGAAAAGGUACAAUCACUCUAUUGACAUUUGAUGUCUCAGGAUAGAG
rnacentral:lncRNA from 1 species